rnacentral:tRNA from 1 species
GAGGGAUGGCUGAGUGGUCGAAAGCGCUCGCCUCGAAAGCGAGUGGGCCCGCAAGGGUCUCGCGGGUUCGAAUCCCGCUCCCUCC